UACGUAGGGGGCAAGCGUUGUCCGGAUUUAUUGGGCGUAAAGAGCGUGUAGGCGGUUAUACAGGUCCGCUGUGAAAACUGGAGGCUUAACCUCCAGACGUCGGUGGAAACCGUAUAACUAGAGUCCGGAAGAGGAGAGUGGAAUUCCUGGUGUAGCGGUGAAAUGCGCAGAUAUCAGGAAGAACACCCGUGGCGAAAGCGGCUCACUGGACCACAACUGACGCUGAUGCACGAAAGCUAGGGGAGCAAACAGG
rnacentral:rRNA from 1 species